GUGCCAGACUCCUACGGGAGGCAGCAGUGAGGAAUAUUGGUCAAUGGCCGAGAGGCUGAACCAGCCAAGUCGCGUGAGGGAGGACGGCCCUACGGGUUGUAAACCUCUUUUGUCAGGGAGCAAGGGACAGGUCGUGACCUGUUGUGAGAGUACCUGAAGAAAAAGCAUCGGCUAACUCCGUGCCAGCAGCCGCGGUAAUACGGAGGAUGCGAGCGUUAUCCGGAUUUAUUGGGUUUAAAGGGUGCGUAGGCGGGCUUUUAAGUCAGCGGUAAAAAUGCGGGGCUCAACCCCGUCCGGCCGUUGAAACUGGGGGCCUUGAGUGGGCGAGAAGAAGGCGGAAUGCGUGGUGUAGCGGUGAAAUGCAUAGAUAUCACGCAGAACCCCGAUUGCGAAGGCAGCCUUCCGGCGCCCUACUGACGCUGAGGCACGAAAGUGCGGGGAUCGAACAGGAUUAGAUACCCGAGUA
rnacentral:rRNA from 1 species